rnacentral:rRNA from 1 species
UGAGGAAUAUUGGUCAAUGGGCGGAAGCCUGAACCAGCCAUGCCGCGUGCAGGAAGACGGCCCUACGGGUUGUAAACUGCUUUUCCGGGGGAAGAAUAAGGCCCAUGCGUGGGCCGAUGCCGGUACCCCGGGAAUAAGGAUCGGCUAACUCCGUGCCAGCAGCCGCGGUAAUACGGAGGAUCCGAGCGUUAUCCGGAUUUACUGGGUUUAAAGGGUGCGUAGGCGGACGCCUAAGUCAGCGGUGAAAUGCGGGGGCUCAACCUUCGAACCGCCGUUGAUACUGGGCGUCUUGGAUUCGGUCGAGGCGGGCGGAAUGCGACAUGUAGCGGUGAAAUGCUUAGAUAUGUCGCAGAACGCCGAUUGCGAAGGCAGCUCGCCGGGCCGACAUCGACGCUGAGGCACGAAAGCGUGGGGAUCGAACAGG